UACGUAGGCCGCGAGCGUUGUUCGGAAUUACUGGGCGUAAAGAGUGUGUAGGCGGUGCUCUAAGUUCGGUGUGAAAUCUCCUGGCUUAACUGGGAGGGUGCGCCGAAAACUGGAGUGCUCGAGCGUGGGAGAGGAAAGCGGAAUUCCUGGUGUAGCGGUGAAAUGCGUAGAUAUCAGGAGGAACACCUGCGGUGUAGACGGCUUUCUGGACCAUUGCUGACGCUGAGACACGAAAGCGUGGGUAGCAAACAGG
rnacentral:rRNA from 1 species